AAUGCUCAAAACAAGAAUACAAAUUUGUAUACAAGAUUCUAUAUCCUAUUUAUUCGCAAUCAAAGAAAAACGACCAAAAAACUGAUUACCGAAUAAUUACCGUUUCCGACCGUUUUCAUCCCUAUCCAGAAUUAGUAUGAUAGCCUGUUGUCUGAUUAUAUGCACAUGAUAUUCCUGCAUAGAUUUAAUGCUUAUGUUCCAAAUUCUAAGGUGGUACUGUGUUUUUUUUUGUGUGUGAACAAUGUACAUUUUAUCCUGUGCUUGCGAUGUGUAUGGAAAUCAAUAAUCUUUAUUUAAACUUUUUCUAUUCUACGAUUAUUAUUAAUUUAAAAAAAAACGUUCUUGCUCUACUAUGAAUGAUGCAAUAAUUCAUGUUGCAGAGCAAAUUUUAUGGCAAUAUGCGGUUAAGUCACAUUUUCAGCAUAAAAUGGUGGUUGUAUUAUCUCUGCUUAUGUUUAUUAAUAUCCGGUUUCUUUGACCAAGUAAUUACCUCUACUUGAGAUUAAUACGUUGUUCAUUUCCAUAUGUACUUGCUCGGCCAUGGUACCUUUUGUAGAUUCGUUAACUGAUUAAAGCCAAAAAAACCUUUGGAUGAUUCCAUCAUGCCGGGGUAUGUGUCAAUGGAAAGUGGCAAGUUCUGGUUCCCGGCGCAGGUCUACUACUGAUCGAGUGGUAUCAUAUCAUGCGAACUUACUAGCAGUUUUAAUUCUAAAAAAAAGUAUGUUAAUUACUUAGUUAAUUAACUUUCGAAUUGAACCUUUUUGUUAGUGCUCACUACUCCUAAUUCUGUAGAGUUGAAAUCAUGGACAACAAGUUGUAGGGCAUUGCUUGCAUCUUAAUUUGGUUCAAUAAAUAUUUGCAUCUCCGACUCCCCGUGCACAGCUGAGCUCUGAAUUUCGACGACCUAGCUUACAUAUGUCCUCUUUUUGCCCCCUUUUAUUUUUAUAUUGCUUCCAAACAUUUGGUUAUGUUUCAUGGAAUAGUCCCGAGAAUUCCCCUCUGUUUUGCAGCAUGGCCAUGUUGGGUUCAUGAUGUUGCGUUAUGAUGCAGUCCACACUGACACAUUCCUCGCAAGGCAUUCAUAAUUUUCUCUCAUUUCCCUCUUGAUCGCAAAAUGAAGUUAAAUUUUAUUGGUUCUAUUGAUUGUAUACAGAUAUUCAUGAAAAAGAAAAAAAAUGAAUUUUGCUAGCGUUAUGGCUUCAAACAGGUACCGAAGUGGAGAGAAUAGAGAAGGUCCUUCCCUGCUGCACUGCAGGUUCGUGUAUCUUAAUGGAAGAAAUGAAAGACCGGGAUGUAUAUAUAAAGAACAGUAGUCAUGGAUAUCAUGGAUUGAAGCACAACCAACCCUGACCUCAGCGCCAACAAGCAGCCAACAAUGAAGCUGAACACGCCUCUCCUCCACAACUCAUGCCACACUUGCCUACUACUACCACAAAUGUACACGAAAUUGGUCUCCAAUCCCAGGUGCUUGAAACAAAUCAUGGCUGAUCAAGCGCUGGAAUAGGUACUUCAUCUAAUCAGGUUGGUUACCUCAUUACACCUGUUAUUUAUCCAUUAACCGGCACGUACAACAAAAGAAACAAAUUCGAGGAUUAAAAUAAAACAACCAGGAAGAAAUGGUACCCAAACUGCCAACCCCCCCCCCCCCCCCCCCCCCCCCCAUGUAUAAACCAGCAUUAGCCAAUGUAGCUAAUCUCAGUUUCAUUUUUUCCAUCUUUUUUUUAAAAAAAAUAAAAUCUUCUUUACCUGUUUUGCUCACCAAGCUCCAUAUUUCUAUCCCUCAAUUGAGAUAUACUGACAGUGCUAGCUUAAUUAAGUGGUUCUCUACCAGCAUUAUUUUCCAAGCUUAGAAGAAUGAAAACAUUGUAUGACUAUUGUCUGUGACCAAAACAAAUGCAAUCGUUUAUCAAUGUGAUUGUUUUGCUAAUACUUUAUUUAUGCACAUCUUGACAUAAGUAUGGGGUGUCUCCCUCUGCAUGACAUCUAACUAUAGCUCCACUGAAUACUUUACUUUUUUUAGCGACCGUGCCUAAGCACGUUUUUCAUUAAGAGGAGAGAGUACAAAGGUUUAGGGAAGAUCGCGAUGGCGAGCUCCCUAGAACCACACGAACCCAAGAUUACAAAAAACGCUUAAACCAGUAGCAGGUUUUGCGACCUACGACUAGCUACCACUGGGAACAACUUCUCCAGGUGUCUAAAACCUGCCGAAGCCCAGGCCAUCCCUUCAUCCAAAAUCUUAGAAACUAAGAUAGCGGGAGGCAGAUUGGAUCUCUGAAAAACGCGAUCAUUUCUUUCCUUCCAAAGUAGCCAAAUCACCAAAAUGACCAGCGAGUCAAACACUUUCCUGUCAACACCCGGCACCUGUUUCCGGGCCCAACUCCACCAAUCAACAAACUCCCCAUGGGCAGUCAAGCCGGUGGUCAGCCGGAACCAAUUCCAGUUGCAGCGACGCAGGAGGGCAGACCAAACUACCCGAGCAUACACACAGCCGAUAAGGAUGUGCGAGAUGGUUUCUGGGAGUUGUAGGCAAGCAGUACAGGAGUCGUCAUCCUGUAGAUUAUGUCGCUUUCUUCUUGCUGCGGUCCAGCAACGGUCAUGUAAAACGAGCCAGGUAAAGAACUUGCAGCGACCAGGCGCAUUGGUCUUCCGGAGCAGUUUGGCGCCAGGAAUUGAUUGCUGGCCAAUGAAAAAAGCUCUAUAGGCUGAGGCAGUAGUGAAGCAACGGUCAGCCGUCCAUUUCCAAAUAAAGGAACUUGUCUUCAGCAAUGGCAUUGAUCGUUUGGUUCUCAACCAAGUUCCAGAUUUGCAGAUAUUCCACAAGCACUUGUACGCAAGGCCGGAGCGAUUUCCUUGAUGGCACGACCAUGUAUCCAACGGUCAGUCCAAAAGAAGGUACACUGACCGUUUCCAACAUCCACUGUGAUAGUCUCUGGGCGCUCCGGCAGCGUAGACCACACUGAAUACUUUACUUGCAUGAUAGUUUAGUUCGCGCAAGGUGUCGUAUCUUCACCAGAGCUAUAUUGCCUCCAUGGAAAUAUAUUAAGUAAAUUUUGUUUAACAGCAAUGUAAAUUCUUUUACGGUUUCCAAGAAAAAGGUUCAAAUUAAUCUAAUUGGGAUUGGUUUUUGCUCGCUUGAUAAAAUGCUUAGCACUCCAUUUUUUGAGCUUAAUAUAGAAGAACUUUUGUGUCUGUCCUUUACUUUUACAGUGUAGAAUCACCCUGAUUAAAUUUAUUACUCCCUAUAGUCAGGUACAUAACUACUGGUAGCUAAAAGCUUCUGAUUAAUUUAGUAAUUUUUUACCUCUAACAAUUCUGUUUAUUUGUAGGAUAGUCAGGUACAUAACUACUGGUUGCUAAAAGCUUAUGAUUAACUUUUUUACCUCUACCAAUUCUGUUUAUUUGUAGGUACUAAAUAAUAGCAGUUACAAAACAAAUACGAUAAAAAGAACCAUGUGAGCAGACUUCAAAGGAACCGCAACACUAUGUGUCCCAGCCAUACUGUGAUGUGAAUCUGCAGAACUGAAGCAUUUUAUUUGCUUGGUAACUGCAUUGUUCAGUACCUACAAAGGUGUGUUAAUUAUGCUUUUUUUAUUACCUCUUUUGUAGAUAUAAUGUUUCAUCCUUUGAUUACCGGAUAUGUUCCAUGAACUAAUGCUGACAAUCAAGUUAGGUCUAUCAGUUUCAGUCCCGGUGUAGGUGGAUGCAAAAUACCUAUGCAAAAUGAGACAAAUCAUAAUCAAUUCAUUUCUACAUCUAUUAUGAACAUGGGUCGUUAA